AUGGGCAGCCUGAGGAGCACGCAGCACGACUGCGGCGGCGGCGUCAGCCACUCGCUCUCGUUCCUCCUUGGGGCUCUCCUCCCCACCGUGCUGCUCCUCUUCCUCGCCUCCGACCGGGUCGACGAGCAGCUGUCCAGCAUAUCGACCUUCCGGUUCCGGAACGGAUCGUCAGCUCAUCAGCUGACUAGCCAUGCUGCCGACCUCCCGACCAAUGGCUCGGAUGGUGGCGACAAAAAGGAGGAGUCAUUCCCGGGGCUGGCGGAGCUGCUGCCGAGGGUCGCCAUGGACGACGGGACGGUGAUCAUCACGUCGGUGAACGAGGCGUUCGCGCGGCCCGGCUCCCUGCUCGACCUCUUCCGCGGGAGCUUCCACGACGGCGAGGGGAUCGGGCACCUCCUCAACCACACCCUCAUCGUCGCCGUUGACCCCGGCGCCUUGGCCCUCUGCAAGGCCGUGCACCCCCACUGCUACCUCCUGGAGGUCAUGGCCGCCGGCGUCAGCUCCGCCAACGGCUUCAUGACCAGAAGCUACCUCGAGCUCGUCUGGUCCAAGCUCACCUUGCAGCACCGCGUCCUGCAGCUCGGCUACAACUAUCUCUACACCGACCUGGAUGUGCUGUGGCUGCGCAACCCGUUCCGGCACAUCAGCCUCUACGCCGACAUGGCCGUCUCGACGGACCGGUUCAACGGCGACGCCGAGGACCUGACGAACGCGCCCAACACCGGCUUCUACUACGUCAGGUCGACCAACCGCACGGUGGAGAUGGUGAGGCGGUGGCGGGCGGCGAGGUCGCGGUUCCGGCCGCUGGCCCACGACCAGGAGGUCUUCGAGGCGAUCAAGGGCGAGUUCGUCGCCGGCGAGCUGCGGAUAAAGCUGGUGUUCCUCGACACGGCGCUCUUCGACGGCUUCUGCGAGUACCACGGCGAGAUGGACCGGGUGUGCACGAUGCACGCCAACUGCUGCCUCCGGCUCGCGACCAAGAUGCACGACCUCCGGAACGUGGUCGCCGACUGGAAGAGGUACUCGAGCCUGCCGCCGCCGGAGAAGAUGAGCAGCAAGCUCAGGUGGACGUACCCCGCCAAGUGUGCGGCGACGAUGAAAAUACCGGCAUAA
rnacentral:rRNA from 1 species